rnacentral:rRNA from 1 species
AGCGAACGCUGGCGGCAGGCCUAAUACAUGCAAGUCGAGCGGGUCCUUCGGGAUUAGCGGCGGACGGGUGAGUAACGCGUGGGAACGUGCCCUUUGGUACGGAACAACUGAGGGAAACUUCAGCUAAUACCGUAUGUGCCCUUCGGGGAAAGAUUUAUCGCCAUUGGAGCGGCCCGCGUUGGAUUAGGUAGUUGGUGAGGUAAAGGCUCACCAAGCCUACGAUCCAUAGCUGGUCUGAGAGGAUGACCAGCCACACUGGGACUGAGACACGGCCCAGACUCCUACGGGAGGCAGCAGUAGGGAAUCUUGCGCAAUGGGCGAAAGCCUGACGCAGCCAUGCCGCGUGAAUGAUGAAGGUCUUAGGAUUGUAAAAUUCUUUCUACCGGGGACGAUAAUGACGGUACCCGGAGAAGAAGCCCCGGCUAACUUCGUGCCAGCAGCCGCGGUAU